rnacentral:rRNA from 1 species
CUGGAACUGAGACACGGUCCAGACACCUACGGGUGGCAGCAGUCGAGAAUCAUUCGCAAUGGGCGCAAGCCUGACGGUGCGACGCCGCGUGGGGGAAGAAGGUCCUAGGAUCGUAAACCCCUGUCAUUGGUUAACAAACCUGCACGUUUAACUGACGUGAAGCUGAUAGUAGCCAAAGAGGAAGGGACGGCUAACUCCGUGCCAGCAGCCGCGGUAAUACGGGGGUCCCAAGCGUUGUUCGGAUUCACUGGGCGUAAAGAGUACGUAGGCGGCCUGUUUAGUCUGAUGUGAAAGCUCCGAGCUCAACUCGGAAAUUGCAUUGGAUACUGGCAGGCUAGAGAUCCGGAGGGGAGACUGGAAUUCUCGGUGUAGCAGUGAAAUGCGUAGAUAUCGAGAGGAACAUCAGUGGCGAAGGCGAGUCUCUGGACGGUUUCUGACGCUGAGGUACGAAAGUUAGGGUAGCAAACAGGAUUAGAUACCCUGGUAGUCCUAACCGUAAACGGUGUGCACUUGCUGUAGGAGGAUUCGACCCCUUCUGUGGCGAAGCAAACGCGAUAAGUGCACCGCCUGGGGAGUACGGCCGCAAGGUUAAAACUCAAAGAAAUUGACGGGGGCCUGCACAAGCGGUGGAGUAUGUGGCUUAAUUCGAUGCAACGCGAAGAACCUUACCUGGGCUUGACAUGCCGUCAUAAGCUGUGAAAGCAGUGGUCAGUUCGGCUGGACGUGCACAGGUGCUGCAUGGCUGUCGUCAGCUCGUGUCGUGAGAUGUUGGUUUAAGUACCGCAACGAGCGCAACCCCUGCAUUUAGUUGCCAUCAAGUAAUGUUGGGCACUCUAGAUGGACUGCCCCAUUUCAAUGGGGAGGAAGGUGGGGACGACGUCAAGUCAGUAUGGCCCUUACGCCCAGGGCUGCACACGUACUACAAUGCCAAGUACAGAGGGACGCCAAACCGCGAGGUGGAGCAAAUCCCAUAAAACUUGGCCCAGUUCAGAUUGUAGUCUGCAACUCGACUACAUGAAGUUGGAAUCGCUAGUAAUGGCGCAUCAGCUACGGCGCCGUGAAUACGUUCCCGGGCCUUGUACACACCGCCCGUCACAUCAUGAAAGCCGGUUUUGCCCGAAGUGCGUUUGCCAACCAGCAAUGGAGGCGACGCCCUAAGGUGAGGCUGGUGAUUGGGAUGAAGUCGUAACAAGGUAGCCGUCCCUAUAGUGAG